rnacentral:rRNA from 1 species
UGUUUCGGCUAGGGGGUCAUCCCGACUUACCAACCCGAUGCAAACUACGAAUACCGAAGAAUGUUAUCACGGGAGACACACGGCGGGUGCUAACGUCCGUCGUGAAGAGGGAAACAACCCAGACCGCCAGCUAAGGUCCCAAAGUCAUGGUUAAGUGGGAAACGAUGUGGGAAGGCACAGACAGCCAGGAUGUUGGCUUAGAAGCAGCCAUCAUUUAAAGAAAGCGUAAUAGCUCACUGGUCGAGUCGGCCUGCGCGGAAGAUGUAACGGGGCUAAACCAUGCACCGAAGCUGCGGCAGCGACACUAUGUGUUGUUGGGUAGGGGAGCGUUCUGUAAGCCUGCGAAGGUGUGCUGUGAGGCAUGCUGGAGGUAUCAGAAGUGCGAAUGCUGACAUAAGUAACGAUAAAGCGGGUGAAAAGCCCGCUCGCCGGAAGACCAAGGGUUCCUGUCCAACGUUAAUCGGG